rnacentral:rRNA from 1 species
CCUACGGGGGGCUGCAGUCGAGAAUAUUCCACAAUGGACGAAAGUCUGAUGGAGCGACGCCGCGUGUGGGAAGAAGGUUUUCGGAUUGUAAACCACUUUUCUUAGGGAGCAAAUUCGUUGAGAGUACCUAAGGAAUAAGAGGUUACUAACUCUGUGCCAGCAGUAGCGGUAAUACAGAGACCUCAAGCGUUAUCCGGAUUUAUUGGGCGUAAAGCGCAGGUAGGCGGUUUAGUUAGUCAGAUGUCAAAGACCGGGGCUCAACCCCGGGAAGGCAU